AAAUCUGUGUACGUGAAGAAUACAAGGACGGGACUAGGGGAGGCAGACCCGGGUACCUACGGGGCAGGUGUCGCGGUAAUGCGGAGGGGGAUAGGGGUAUCCGGAUUUACUGGGCGUAAAGGGUGCGUAGGCGGUCUUUCAAGUCAGGAGUGAAAGGCUACGGCGCAACCGGAGUAAGCUCUUGAAACUGGGAGACUUGAGUGCAGGAGAGGAGAGUGGAAUUCCUAGUGUAGCGGUGAAAUGCGUAGAUA
rnacentral:rRNA from 1 species